AAGCAUCUCGGUUCGAAUCCGAGUGGCGGCA
rnacentral:tRNA from 1 species